rnacentral:rRNA from 1 species
UACGGAGGGUGCGAGCGUUAUCCGGAUUUACUGGGUUUAAAGGGUGUGUAGGCGGGCUGGUAAGUCAGGGGUGAAAUCCCGGAGCUCAACUCCGGAACUGCCUUUGAUACUACUGGUCUUGAAUAUUGUUGAGGUGGGCGGAAUGUGUCAUGUAGCGGUGAAAUGCAUAGAUAUGACACAGAACACCGAUUGCGAAGGCAGCUCACUGGGCAAUGAUUGACGCUGAGGCACGAAAGCGUGGGGAUCAAACAGGAUUAGAUACCCUGGUAGUCCACGCCCUAAACGAUGAUUACUGGACAUUGGCAAUAUGACCGAUCAGUGUCUUUGAUAAGCGAAAGCAUUAAGUAAUCCACCUGGGAAGUACGACCGCAAGGUUGAA